GUUUGUUCUGAACAGCUAAAGCCAUUAACCCCCCGCCCUCCCCAAAAAAGGGGCCAAUGCUAACUUUGUCAUAUGCGUAAAACUUACGUCGGAAAACAGGUAUGUACAAAUGUAGCCGUCGACUCUAGCGAAUAGACGUUGAACAAAAGGAGAACGGCCUAGUAAAAAGGUGAGUCAGUUGUUAUGCUAAGAUUGAAUUAUGUUAACAAACUAGUCGAAACGCUCGUUCGAAAAGAGCUUGAUGCCCAGUGAAACAUUUAAUCUUAUCAGACGCAUUGUUGUCACGCAGCUCCCGUUUUAACAGUGAAAUGAUUACCCCUCCCCCAAAAAAAAAGAAAAAAAACCCAAGCAAAAAAACCAGAGUCGACGAGAUAAUGGAACUGCGCGUUGCGGCAUUCUGCAUUUUAAAAAAAUAAAUAACAACCCCACCGUACAUGCAUGAUGCUCACGUUAUAAUCUAAUGCAAGUGGCAACGUGAGACGUAGGAUGCGUCGAUUGCUCGCCUAGCUGGAUUGCGUCUGCUCUUAGUGCAGGAUCAACAAGGUAAACGCGCUACUAUCGGGACACAGGCCAUCCAUAAAGAGUGGAUUACGCACGGCUGAAAUAGUCCGUUUGCAAUGCAUGAAGAACCCCAUUUCCCACCGGGAGCCUCCCCCCCCCUUCUUUGCUACGGUGGCGCUACUGAUGAAAAAACAAAAAAAAAACAAAAAAAAUGGGCGAACCUCGAAAGCCGCCAACGAAGUCAUGAGCCGCCCUCGUCCGCAGGACUCGAGUUGCUGGUGACACGCGCCGACCUAAUGGAUAGAGGGUAUAGAUUUUCAUCCAACUGUGCUAAGCGUUUUGUUCUCUCGCUCUAUAUAGUCUACUCGUUGCACUGCUUAAGACUCACCCCCCUCCCUGCCAUGGAACUAUUGUCAAUUCAAUUUCAUUUUAAUUGUUUUGUGUUUUUUGUUUUUUGUUUUUUUUUACCUGGUUUAAGUGAUUUGUUGAAAAGUAGGCCUACACGAUAACUUAGAUUGAAUGAAAUACUUGUUCAGUCAGUUCUCACUUUCUUUUGCCAUUCUUUCUUCUAUGUGUCAUCAAUUUUAUUUAUUUAUUAUUUAUUUUUAAAGCUGGAUUUGUUUUUCUCGUUUGUUUGCUCCGAGGCUUUUCUCUUUUCUUUCGGUUUUAACGUAAGAUUGUUCGACUACACGUCGUGUUCUAAGAAUGUGUGCAUCACGUACGAAUUGUGGCCUAUUUAACCCAUCUAGUACGUGUGCCCGCGAGUUAACACACUAGUUGAAAACCAAUUAGAAAUUGCAAACUGUAGACCUAUACAGUAGUUUGCCGCAAAUGACAUGAAGGCAAAUUCAACGUCAAUGUCAUUCAGGUGAUGCAAAGAAGUGAACAGUGAUGUUUAGAAACAAACCAUCGAGUCAUAAAGUGGCAUAGCGCUUAACCGCAAUCUACUCUUGUGACUCGCGUAAAAAAAGGGGGAAAAAAAAAGGGAGGAUACGAGCCUGACGACGAGUGAUAUUAUGGAAAUGAUGAAAAAUUCUGACGAGUGGGACAGCUGGACUCAAGUGGUGAAUGGGCGGGUCCAUUUCUGCGCUGCUGUGUGAAGUUCCGAGGCCACCAGAUGGGCCACACAAUGGAGUGCUACGUGUAAAAAAAAAAACCAAACCGAUGACCAUUUUUUCUCGAUUUUUUUUUCUUUCUUUCUUUUUUUUUUUUACCAGUGUGUUUCACAGAUUCACAAGCACAUCACUCCCUUUUUUUUUCUCCGUUCCCUCUUUUUUUCUUUUUUUUUUAUUCAUCUCUUUCACUCGAUCACUUGUCCUCACGUUUGUGGCACUUAACAACUGCACGUGCGGUCUGCCCUUACUGGCCUGAAUGCAGACGAGAUGCCGGUCCUUUCAACCCCCAACUUCUCAGUCCCUGACAGCCCAACUUCUCAGUCCUCACGUAGGGUAAUGUAUGGUACACUCCAUAGGCUACGCAGUACAAUCACACGCGCUGGAAGCACAUUACAACAGAGCAGUCGAGCCUAUGAUGAAGGGAUACACCUCUUAUUACGAUUGCCGAACGGACAUUUCAACUAACUCAAUAAGUAAAGAUCUAAUUGCUUCAGAGUUCUGAGACAUUACAGAUUAAACAUUGAAUAAUCAAAAAUGAGCCAUAAAAUGAGCGAUAUUUGACUGAAUCCGAUUGACCUUUAGUUUUUCUAUUCGUUGCCGAAACAAUAGUCCUUCGACUGCAAGUGGUAGCCCCGCAUACGCCAUGGUAUAAACAGUGAGCCAUUAUGCCAUUAUGGCGUAUAUAUACCGAGGCACAGAUCCGUUUGGUAAUCUCUGUAUGACAAGGAUCCCCUUUUUUCUUUUGUCGUCCAGACUAAAAAACGAGUUCUCAAAGGUUUUUUCUUAUUAUUUUUUUUUUUUUUCAAAAUGAAAAAUAUUAAAAAUCUCCUCCACCCGUGUAUGGAUUACUCCAUGUAACGGGGGGAUAACGCACAAUACGCCGCUGGCGGAUGGUACAGUUCCGUAUAGUAAAGGCUAUAUACUGUACGUGUAGAAAAAUUGGUGGCCGCUUUCAGUUUCCAUACCCCUUUUUCUUUUCUUUUUUUUUACGCUGGCAGCAGUGCGUAUACCAGCUUUAAUAACCCCUUUCGAUGAGAAAAAGGAGAACGUUGGUCCUGCCGGUUUGAGCUAUACUUGUCGGUUCAUCAAGCGGAGCGCUUGUUUGAAGAGGGGAAAGGGAUUGAUGAAUCUCACACUAAAGCGCAAGAUAAUAUGGGCAAGUAUAUCGUCGGGUGGGUUUCCCUACUUUCGGAAGCGACUGUGUAAGCGCUUGCAAUUGUCUCCGCACCCAUUGACAAACAAUACAAUGUAUAAGCUCGUC
rnacentral:lncRNA from 1 species